AAAUUCUAAAACGACGUCGUUUUGUGCUUAA
rnacentral:sRNA from 1 species